UUCAUCUUCCACCAGAGGGUUAGAGUUUGCUUCUGAAGAAGAAAGUGGAAGUGGGGAACAACAACCUCCAUUUUGCCCUAGGGAGGAGGCGCCACCAUCUUUGCUUUGUCCCUGAAAACUCCCUCCACAUCUGUCAUCCUAUGGUGGCCCACCAAGCACCUGCCAGUACUCUUUCUCCAUGUGCCAUUUGUCAGAAGCUGAGCUGCUUCACGCUAGAGCAACAGAUUCUCCUGGGCGCAUCGAUGGGUUCAAAGGUGUGCACACAACCCAAGCUAAGACAAAGAAGAUAAUCUUGGGACGAGGGGGAGCCUCACCUUGGAGAUCUUUAGCCUUCCAACACAGAGUCUUCAUCCUCCUGAUAUCAACUUGCACGGGACACUACAGUGGGCUCCAGGUCUUCAACUUGAUCCUGCAGAUCUCCAGCACUCAGACAAAUCUUUCACACUCUUCCACACCUCACUCUGCGGGUG